AGAGACCCGGUCUACCACCGGGAUGUUCAUAACCCUUUGUUGUCCGACUCUGUUGCCUCCGGGGCGACCCUGCCUUCGGGCGGGGGCUCCGGGUGGACACUUCAAACUCUUGCGUAACUUUGCAGUCUGAGUAAACUUAAUUAAUAAAUUAAAACUUUUAACAACGGAUCUCUUGGUUCUGGCAUCGAUGAAGAACGCAGCGAAAUGCGAUAAGUAAUGUGAAUUGCAGAAUUCAGUGAAUCAUCGAAUCUUUGAACGCACAUUGCGCCCCCUGGUAUUCCGGGGGGCAUGCCUGUUCGAGCGUCAUUUCACCACUCAAGCCUCGCUUGGUAUUGGGCAUCGCGGUCCGCCGCGUGCCUCAAAUCGACCGGCUGGGUCUUCUGUCCCCUAAGCGUUGUGGAAACUAUUCGCUAAAGGGUGUUCGGGAGGCUACGCCGUAAAACAACCCCAUUUCUAAGGUUGACCUCGGAUCAGGUAGGGAUACCCGCUGAACUUAAGCAUAUCAAUAGGCGGGAGGAA
rnacentral:rRNA from 1 species